AAGCAUUUCUUCACUUGGAUAAACUUUCAUUAAGAUAUCUGGCAGAUUUGGUAUUUAAGAAAACGAAGGAAGGAAAAUUGGUGCUUAUGCUUGAUCCUAAAGUUAAAUUGUAACAUAAAGAAUGCGGUUGAUGAAUACUCAGGAUAAUAGGGGGUUAUUCCAUCCUCCCCACCCCCAGUCUUAAGAAAGAGAAAGAGAGAAAAGGUUGGGGGGUGGGGGAGGAAACUGGAGAGAAUAAUAGAUAAUUACAAAUAGCUAGUGAAUUUUAAAUAUGCAUCUAUUAGGAAUGCCACAAAGGAGCUUUGAAUAUUGGACUAACCUCAAAUGUCCUUCCACUGUAUGUAUGUAUUUUUUCCUAUGUCUACAUGUCUUCUCACUUUAAAACAAACUGUAUUUACAUGUGGAAAAAUUCAAGGGUUCCAACAAUCAGUGUUGAUAGUGACAUGGUCCCAAACAUUUAUUUCCAAGCUCUGGAUUUCUCGCAGGGCCGGGUGAGCUAAUGGGCUUUGCCUACCGGCUGGAGAGAUUUGUGGGCCUUCCCCUUCCUACUCACUUUUCCUCCUCCCACUCUUCUCCCCUCUUCAGGCCCGUUCUUCCUACUUUUCCUCAACUCUCCUUCCUCCCUCCUCCCUCCUUCUCCCUUAGCUCCCCCCACCCCUUCCCCCCACCCUCCAUUCCUCUGUCUCUCCAUUCCUCCACCUACUCCUCCCAAUUUCUCCCCCUACAGCCCCCCUUCUCACCACCACUUAUAAUGGCACACAGGGCUCCCUCUGAGGUGGACGGCCCGAUGCACAGAGAAUUUCUGACCUUGUGACGUUUGGGAGUGAGGAGAUCCCAUACAGAGGCAUCCAGGUAUUUCCAGAGAUCCUGUGGCAGGUGAGGUCUGCCCUCGCUGGAGCCAACUCGUCUAUAAUAUCUUCCUAACAGCAGAUACCAUAGAGGAGAGGUCGAGGUCCUUCCACUGCAGCACCAAGUGGGGUAUAUAAAGCCACACUGCCCAUGAGGGCUGUGGCGUGAGUCUGCUAGCCGUGAGAGACAGAUGCAUUACAAAGGGAUGGAUUUAGUGCACUCUUUCCUCUUUUACUCACAGCCUGAACAGCCAGUGAACGAUGAAACAAAACUUCUUCCCAAGCCUCAAUGAGGAUUGUGCCAUAGUUUGAAGGUAGGAGAAUUUCAAGCCAUUAAUCGUCUGUGAAUACUGAAUGCCAGAGAGAAUGGCUCCUUCAGGUCUAUCAGCUUAUUGCUGCUUCUGUGUUAUUCUUAGGCCAAAGAACAAUGGUCAAUCCAGCAAUCAACUCAGUUUGGCUGAUUUGUGCCUUUAGUCCAACCUUCUCAGUUGGACCACACAGCCAUUCUUCUCUUCAAUUUCAGGGUCUUUCCUUCAGGAAUUCUGUCAGGAAUAAGCAGCAAGUUUCCUACUGCUCUGGGUCCUCCUUAGACCCUUCUUAUUUCAUGUUCAGAGGAAUGAACUCCACAUCCUGUCUUAAACUCCACCUUCCUUCUAUUAUUUUUUCAUAUUUGACAUUGAUACUCAUUGAAACUAGAAUCUGAAUUAUUACCACCAAAGAUAUUACCUUUUUUUUUGCACCGGAGAGCUUAAUCUUUAAAAUGUGCUGUGAGAGAUGGGAAUGGUAUACUAUCCUUCUAGUGUGGCAAAAGAAGAGAGAGUAACAAAAUAAUUAUGUUCAUAUUAAGAUUAUUUGAAUAUAAAUAUUUUGCCAAAUUUGUAUUUAGGUGUCCAUGUUAUUUUUAAUAAUUGGAUUGAUAUAAGUAGAUCUUAAGAAAUAUAAAAAAAAACCGUUUUGUCAAAUUGGAGUCAAGGAGGCAUGGAAAUUCUCUUCAUUUGCAGUACUCCUAAAUUUCUGCUUAUUCUGUGGUUGAAUUUAUAUCAACAAAGAGAAUUGGAGAUUAAGGCAAUUAAUCAGAAAUUUUAAUUAAAAAAGGAAUGGAAAAAAUAAGUAAAAUUUCCUAUAGAAUUCUAGGGUUUGACAUCUACACAGAUAUAUUCAUUAGGUAGAAUAAUAAGUCUUUUCUUUGCUCUUAUGAAAAUAUUGUUCUCUAAUUGUCAAUGAGCAUAAAGUAAAAUGAAGAUAGAUUAUACAAAUAUCCUUAUUGAUUAAAAGUUUAAAAUUGCCAGUGCCCAAGAAAUAUGCCUGAAUUCAAGGAUAUCUUAUUGCAAAGAAUAUCUUACUGCAGUUUGUUUUUUUCCUUACUGUAAAUAAAGGGUCAACCAACAGUUAAUAACUCACAACUGCAUCUUUUCUUGUUAGAACAUGUCGCCCAGCACUUUUUGAUUAGAUGUUCUCAGAUAAUAGCUGGGGCAGAUUGACCAAAGGAGAGCAAUUUUUUUUUAAUCAGGAUAACAUAAUGAUUCCAUCACAAACUUUAGAAAGGGCUAUGGAUAUCACCAAUUUUCUUUUUUUGUCUAUUAAUAGUGCUGUAAUCUUUAGUGGAAUUGAAGACAUGACCUUCUGCAGGUUUCAAUACAACUUUAUAAAAGGCUGUAACAAUGCCUUUAAAAUCAAAUCUAUUAACUGUUCUACAGAGAGGCCAGUUUUCUAGUAACUUGGCCAUAACUUAAAGACAGGGACCCUGAAAACACCAAGCAUCUGCCUGCAAUCUGAAUUAUCUCCCUGACUAGAUUCAGUAAUCUUGGCUCUUCCCUGCAUUUAAGUCAUUUUGUGUACAUCAAUUUCUUCACCUAUGAAGGAAGAGAGUUGUCCAACAUGUUCUGAUGUUCUUUCAGUUCUGAGUUCUUUGGAUAAUUUGAUUGGAGCCCAAGAGAUGUCCUAAAUCUGACUGGCAUGCAGUAAAUGUUUGUUGAUUGUGAAAAAAUAUUUGACUUCCAAAUGGGUUGUAAAAUAUCUCGUGUGGACAUACUGCAGCAAGUUAACACUUAUAAUUUUGGGAGCAGAAUAAAUGUAAUUAAGUCACAAAUGCAAAUGAAUUCUCUGCUUAUUUAAUUCAAAGAGAAAUAGUUGUCUAAAAACAAUCUGACCCAUAUACUGGUUGAAAAUAGUAAGCAUUAUUUUUUUAUGAAGGGCCAAGUAAGUGGCUUACAUAUAUUAAAUGUAAUAAAUGUAUUCAAAAAGAUUUUCACCUAGUUGAACUGCAUUUAUACUUCAUGAAUAUCACUAGCGUAAUCAUUACUUUAAAAACAUAUAGCUGGAGAAAUAAGCAUUUAGACAGGUAAGAAAACAGACUGAAGUUUUAAAUUUUAUUUUUAACAGUCAUUCUAAAAGAAUUAUUUAUCAUUAUAUAUUUGUAUGACUGUUAAAAGUUGAAACAGAAAACAUGGAAGUAUGCUUUUAAUUGAUCAUUGUUAUAUAUAGAGAGUGAAUUAAAAAAUUUAUGCAUAUAAAGUUACUAAUAAUUUUUUGAGCACAUAUAGUUUCCUACAUACUUACCUAUAUCUAUUCUUUAAUCCCUGUAACAGCCCCAUGAACUAUCUACUAUUAUUAUCAUCAUUCCUUCUUGCAGGUGAGGAAGCUGAGGUCUAGAGACGUUCAUUAAUUUGACUAAAGGCACACAGUCAAUAAAUGGUAGAGCCAAGGUUUGAACCCUGGCAUUCUGGUUUUAUGCUUUUAACCAGCUGCUUAUUAUUGGUAUCUUAUUGUGAUGAUUUUGGAAAACACUACUAAUUUAUUUGAAAUGUAUUAAUAGUCUUUAUUUAUUUACAACUUUAAUAAAGAAAAAGUUAACCUUUCCAUAUGUUCAAACAAGACGCAUAAUUUUCUCAUUUAUC